GACGAACGCUGGCGGCGUGCUUAACACAUGCAGGUCGAACGGAAAGGCCCUGCUUUUGUGGGGUGCUCGAUUGGCGAACGGGUGAGUAACACGUGAGUAACCUGCCCUUGACUUUGGGAUAACUUCAGGAAACUGGGGCUAAUACCGGAUAGGAGCUCCUGCUGCAUGUUGGGGGUUGGAAAGUUUCGGCGGUUGGGGAUGGACUCGCGGCUUAUCAGCUUGUUGGUGUGGUAGUGGCUUACCAAGGCUUUGACGGGUAGCCGGCCUGAGAGGGUGACCGGCCACAUUGGGACUGAGAUACGGCCCAGACGCCUACGGGAGGCAGCAGUGGGGAAUAUUGCACAAUGGGCGGAAGCCUGAUGCAGCAACGCCGCGUGCGGGAUGACGGCCUUCGGGUUGUAAACCGCUUUCGCCUGUGACGAAGCGUGAGUGACGGUAAUGGGUAAAGAAGCACCGGCUAACUACGUG
rnacentral:rRNA from 1 species